rnacentral:rRNA from 1 species
AGGACGAACGCUGGCGGCGCGCUUAACACAUGCAAGUCGAGCGAGAACCGGUCCUUCGGGACCGGGGAAAGCGGCGAACGGGUGAGUAACACGUGGGUAAUCAACCCUCGGUACCGGGAUAGCCCGAGGAAACUCGGAUUAAUACCGGAUGGCCCAACAGCCUUUCGGGGCGGUUGGAAAAGGUAGCUUCGGCCUCCGACCGAGGACGAGCCCGCGGCGGAUUAGCUUGUUGGUGGGGUAACGGCCCACCAAGGCGACGAUCCGUAGCUGGUCUGAGAGGACGAUCAGCCACACUGGGACUGAGACACGGCCCAGACUCCUACGGGAGGCAGCAGUGGGGAAUCUUGCACAAUGGGCGAAAGCCUGAUGCAGCGACGCCGCGUGAGGGAGAAGGCUUUCGGGUUGUAAACCUCUUUCAGGAGGGACGAAGCUACUCGGGUUAAUAGCCCAGAGGGUGACGGUACCUCCAGAAGAAGCCCCGGCUAACUACGCGCCAGCAGCCGC